UACGGAGGGGGCUAGCGUUGUUCGGAAUUACUGGGCGUAAAGCGCACGUAGGCGGCUUUGUAAGUUAGAGGUGAAAGCCCGGGGCUCAACUCCGGAAUUGCCUUUAAGACUGCAUCGCUAGAAUUGUGGAGAGGUAAGUGGAAUUCCGAGUGUAGAGGUGAAAUGCGUAGAUAUCAGGAGGAAUACCGGUGGCGAAAGCGACUCUCUGGACGGUUACUGACGCUGAGGCACGAAAGCGUGGGGAGCAAACAGG
rnacentral:rRNA from 1 species